ensembl:lncRNA
AUCAAAUCCAUCAAGAACCACAUUAAGAGUGCCACCAUAUACAUACGUCCAAUGCAAAAAGACAUUGAUACAACUCCUGUCGAACCUGAGUCAGUCGUGUCUGGGCCCAAGGAAAAAUGUCUGAUUUGUGCAGAAGAGAUAUUUUUCAGUGAACUUAAGGAUCAUGUCAAACAUUGCAGGUCUGCAAGUGAGAUCAGCAGAGCAUCACCCAACAUGAGUCCUCCAGACAGCCAAGAAUUUUGCUACACCCCUAAUUCAUUUGAAGUGGACAUAGAUCAAACAUCCACAGAUGCUGCAACAUUACAGAGGAUUGACUUGACAGAAGAUGAGCCAAUGCUGGUAACCUGUGUUACACUUUUAUAGAUGGG